CCGGAACAGGAAGAGACAGCCAGGAUAGCUGCCCUGAGAAAGGAYGAGCAACAGAAAUGUCAAGUGAUGCGAGAAAGAGCUGAGCCGUUGACCAAGCAGAUUUCAACCAUAAUAGAGACUAUUCAAAUGAUCAAGGAAAUGGAAGUUGACAAUAUCACAUUCCUUCAGGAGGAACCGCCCCCUGCACUGCAGAGGAGGAGCCGUGACAGUGUAAACCCAGACAUCCAGAUCAAGRUGGAUGAGAGCCCACGAGGGAUCAGAGUAUGUCUGGACUGUGACAAGGGGGAGCUGACAUUCUGCGAACCCACUAAGAGCACUACUAUGUACACCUUCAAUGAUACAUUCACUGAAAAAGUGUUCCCAUACUUUUACAGUACCAAUCAAUUGGUCCCACUGCGCCUUUUGUCAGUUAGCCCCAACGUUGGGCAGAAUAUAAACAUGAGUGGAGACAGGUUGCUAAGUUUAUAAUAAGUGGGGACAAAUAUCUACUAACAUGUUAAUUAGUUGAUGUAUCAACUGGAGYGACCCCAUUGUGUGAACUUUAGUUGAAUCCAGCUCSAUGUAAAUAGCUGUAAGACCUCAACACAGAGCAUACUAUGGGUAUAAGUAGUAUAAUUUAAUUGAUGCCAAUAGAAUGCAUAUAUACCUUCUGUAUGGUAACACCUGUCUAUCUCAUAAUGCUUGUACKAGUGUUUAAAACAGUUGUUACAGUAUGUAAAAUAUGUAAAGUACAGUCAAUUAUCUAAAUAAAUAUUAAAAGUUUCUAUUGCA